GACGAACGCUGGCGGCGUGCUUAACACAUGCAAGUCGAACGGAAAGGCCCUGCUUUUGUGUGGUGCUCUAGUGGCGAACGGGUGAGUAACACGUGAGUAACCUGCCCUUGACUUUGGGAUAACUUCAGGAAACUGGGGCUAAUACCGGAUAGUAGCUCCUGCUGCAUGGUGGGGGUUGGAAAGUUUCGGCGGUUGGUGAUGGACUCGCGGCUUAUCAGCUUGUUGGUGGGGUAGUGGCUUACCAAGGCUUUGACGGGUAGCCGGCCUGAGAGGGUGACCGGCCACAUUGGGACUGAGAUACGGACCAGACUGCUACGGGAGGCAGAAGUGGGGAAUAUUGCACAAUGGGCGGAAGCCUGAUGCAGAAACGCCGCGUGCGGGAUGACGGCCUUCGGGUUGUAAACCGCUUUCGCCUGUGACGAAGCGUGAGUGACGGUAAUGGGUAAAGAAGCACCGGCUAACUACGUG
rnacentral:rRNA from 1 species